rnacentral:tmRNA from 1 species
GGGGGCGAAACGGCUUCGACGGAGAUAAUGAGCGCCACGGUAGCAUACCGAGUUUUUUGCAAACUCGUAAAUCCUCGCAAAACCUAAACAUAAUCGCAGACGAUUAUAACUACGCAGUAGCUGCUUAAGCAACUGCCGUCCUCCUGAAAUCCUUUCUGCAGAUUCAGAUAGGGGCGUCGACUAUGCAGAACCGCCUGUUCAGGAUGCCUGAUCCUGACGGGUUGAAUUUUUCAGGCUAUACUGGAGUGAAGCCAUCCUGGAGGGGGCACUUCAGCAAAUUGUAAAAUUCAGGAUAAGUAUGUAGAAGCCUGGUGUGAAUGUUUUCGGACGCGGGUUCAACUCCCGCCGCCUCCACCA